UGGGAUUGGGGUUUAUAGACUGAAGAAGGUUCCAUCUGUGAUCAUGCUUACCAUGCUGAGUAACUUUUAAGACUGGAAGAAUCGAGAUGAGGAUCCUUAAUGCAUCCAUGUUAAAGAACCUUUGCUUGACUUUUUGAAUUAGUUGUUUUCAUACAAAAUUAACACUUAUUCACGAUUUAAAAAAUUUUUCAAACACUACAAGGGAGAUAUUAAAGUGAAAAGAGAAGUCUCAUCUAUCAGAGGUGGCCACUAUUGUAUUUCUGGCAUGGAUGAGGUGUGAUUAAGCUCAUAGGUGCCCCCAUGUGUCCUUUUCCUUAAAGCAUCAAUGGGAUCUUACCACGUAUUCUGUUCUGCGACUUGCUUUCUUCACAGUAGUGUCUUUCCAUAUCAGGACAUACUGAGCCAUCUCAUUCUGCCUCAGAGCUAUUCCAUCUGCCUGGAACAUGAAUCUGGAACAGUCCCAGAUUCAUGGCUCACUCUUGUCUAGUCCUUACUCAAAUGCCUCCUUCUUAAUGAUGACUUCCUUAGCUGCUGUAUCUAAAAUUUCAACCAUUCCCCUAUCCCUUUCUAUCCCCCUUCCCUAUUAAUGACUUUCCUAGCAUACUUCUGUUUAUUGUCUGUUCCCCCAUUGUAAUGUAUACUCUAUGGUGGGGAGGAAUAUUUGACUGUGUUGUUCACUGCCAUAUCCCCAACCUUUAGAAUAAUUCUGGACCCUGUAGUAGAUGC
rnacentral:lncRNA from 10 species